rnacentral:snRNA from 1 species
AUCGCUUCUCGGCCUUUUGGCUAAGAUCAAAGUGUAGUAUCUGUUCUUAUCAGCUUAAUAUCUGAUAGGCCCUCCAUCGGGGGCAUCGAUAUUAAACUAUUCUUUGAACUCAGGUGUCUGUCUCGAGCUUGCUCAGACUUCCCCACGGGUUGACCCGUUAUUGCAGUACUUCUGGGAUCAGCCCAACCACC